AACAGAGCAAGACCCCUUGUAAAAAUUUUUAAAUAGUUAAAAAGAAAAGAAAAGAAAAAAGGGGGGCCAGACACGGUGGCUCACACCUGUAAUCCCGGCACUUUGUGAGGCUGAGGCAGGCAGAUCACGAGGUCAGGAGUUCGAGACCAGCCUGGCCAACAUGGUGAAACCCCAUCUCUACUAAAAAUACAAAAAUUAGCCAAGCAUGGUGGCACCCACCUGCAAUCCCAGCUACUUGGGAAACUGAGGCAGGAGAAUCACUUGAACCUGGGAGGUGGAGGUUACAGUGAGCCAAGAUCAUGCCACUGCAUUCCAGCCUAGGUGACAGAGCGAGACUCCAUCUCAAAAAAAAAAAAAGAAAGAAAGAAAAAGAAAAGAACCCAAUUAAAAAGUGGGCAAGGCUGGACGAGGUGGCUCACGCCUGUAAUCCCAACACUUUGGGAGGCCAAGGCAGGUGGAUCACAAGGUCAGGGGUUCAAGAACAGCCUGGCCAACAUAGUGAAACCCCGUCUCUACUAAAAAUACAGAAAAUUAGCCCAUCGUGGUGGUAGGCACCUGUUAUCCCAACUACUCGGGAGGCUGAGGCAGGAAAAUCACUUGAACCUGGGAGGUGGAGGUUGCAGUGAGCCAAUAUCCUGCCAUUGCACUCCAGCCUAGGUGACAGUGCGAG
rnacentral:lncRNA from 1 species